AACGAACGCUGGCGGCGUGCUUAACACAUGCAAGUCGAGCGAGAAAGGUACCUUCGGGUGCUGAGUAAAGCGGCGAACGGGUGAGUAACACGUGAGUAACGUACCUUUCAAUGGGGGAUAACAGUUUGAAAAGACUGCUAAUACCGCAUAAGACCACGACUUCUUAGGGAGAUGGGGUAAAAGGCUUCGGCCGUUGAAAGAUCGGCUCGCGGCCCAUUAGAUAGUUGGUGAGGUAAUGGCUCACCAAGUCAGAGAUGGGUAGCUGGUCUGAGAGGAUGAUCAGCCACACUGGGACUGAGACACGGCCCAGACUCCUACGGGAGGCAGCAGUGGGGAAUCUUGCGCAAUGGACGAAAGUCUGACGCAGCAACGCCGCGUGUGUGAUGAAGGCUUUCGGGUCGUAAAGCACUGUCAGGAGGGAAGAAGAAAGUGACGGUACCUCCAAAGGAAGCACCGGCUAACUCCGUGCCAGCAGCCGCGGUAAUACGGAGGGUGCAAGCGUUGUUCGGAAUUAUUGGGCGUAAAGCGCGCGCAGGCGGCUUGCCAAGUCCGAUGUGAAAGCCCAGGGCUCAACCUUGGAUGUGCAUUGGAAACUGGCAGGCUUGAGUAUGUGAGGGGUCAGUGGAAUUCCUGGUGUAGGAGUGAAAUCCGUAGAGAUCAGGAGGAACACCAGUGGCGAAGGCGACUGACUGGAACAUAACUGACGCUGAGGCGCGAAAGCGUGGGUAGCAAACAGGAUUAGAUACCCUGGUAGUCCACGCCGUAAACGAUGUUCACUAGCUGCUGUGUCCUUAGAUGAUGCAGUGGCGUAGCUAACGCGUUAAGUGAACCGCCUGGGGAGUACGGCCG
rnacentral:rRNA from 1 species